ACAUGGCGAUGCAUUCCACAAGCGGUGCAGUGUUUGUUAGUAUUGUUUUAAACCAGAAUGGGCUUUGGAUAUUCGUCACACCCGUACCUGAAAAAGUAAAGCGUGUUCCUUGAAUCACCAGCCUUCGGGUCAAAGAUGUGUUGAAAAAGAAGGAAGGGGACACACCAGUUGGUGUGGCGUAGCGCCAAGAGGGACUCUGCACGGUUUCCGUUUAUGAAAAACAAGCACCAUGUCACCAUGGUGCUUUUUGUUCUUUGUAGUUUUGCCUUUAGGUCCCUUCAAGCUGGACAUUCCUUAUGAUGAUGUCUUUCUCAGGAAUAUAUUUUGGGAGAUUGGACAAGGGACGGUGAAUGUGUAUGAGACUUUGGCUGGGUAUAAAGGUUAUACUGUCUCAGACUAAAUAUAGCAGAGGCUGCUGUGUCAGAAACCCAGCAGAAAUGCCAUACGUGUGUGUGUAUAUAUAUAUAUAUAUAAAUAUAUAUAUAUAUAUGAUUCACGAUGACACUAAAUGCAACGCGGAUUUCUGACACCUGAAGCAGCGCAGUGAAAAGUAUGGCUCCAGGAAUCUACAACUGAUAACGUCCCUCAGCUUGAAAACAUCCGUGCUUUGUCCUUAUUUUAGUGGGAUAAAAACACUCUUAUCGUGAGCCUUGGGGACAAACGUGACCAAGCCCCAGGCUUUUCUCUUGAGUAUCUUUGGCACUUCUCUUGGCACUGAGACAAUAUUUGGAUACAAGUGAAUGUACAGUAUCUCGUUUUGUAUUUGCCUGUAUUUAUCUGAGCUCUCCCUGUGAACAUGAGCUUUCAUUCUGAUUUUUUAACCACCCCUCAAAGCCCUCGCCCUGGGAAAGCUUCAUCUCUGAGGGCCAGAGACUGUUGCUCAGGGAAUUUAGUCAUAGGACCUGGGCAUCUGAUCCGCAGGUGUCAAGUCGGAUCAGUUCACCUUGUAAGGAAUUUAGACAGUUAACCCAUCAUCCUCAAGUCAGAGGCCAGGUGGAAAGGGGUGGCAGUUGCUUUUCAUGUGCCAGUGCCCCUCAGUUAUAGAAAUAAUGGAAAAUUCACUUUGUACUGAUCUUCCUUCUAAAAAAUUAAUAAGAAAAUCCAAACUUUGCUGAUACUUUCUUAUUUUUAUAAUAGAUUCACAAUAGGCUUUCACUAGACAGCCAACUCCUCUGGGACUCCUGAAUUAUGACAUGAUUAACAAAAUUUGAUUUCAAAGCAGUUGUUUACAACAACGAUUGCGUAGAGUGCAGGACAGCAGCGGGAUGAGGGCCGGGGUGGGUAGUGGCUCCCUGGGGCAGUGAAUUAUCUCCUGCUGUGAUGACCGCUUCCUCCACCGAGACGUUGAGAUGCUACGGAGAAGACCAGAGAGGCCCGGGCCGGUCUGACUCCAGGGAGUUUAUUUGACAAUCGAUUUUGUGUUGAGCUCCCCUUACAUGUUUACACUUUUGGAUUUAGAAUCCAGUAUCAACCCAGCAAGCUCAGCGAUGAAACCAUCUGUCUCUCUCCGACGGAGCCGUGACUGUU
rnacentral:lncRNA from 1 species